UCGUUCACAUUGAUGCCCUGGAACCUUCUCAAGUUUCCUUGGACAAGAGUAAGGAACAUCAGUGCUACACUGAGUACAUAUGCGACACACUAGAUGACCACCAGACGAAAAUUCCGGAUGAUCACUAUGAUGUCGUCGUCAUGAGUGGAGCUUUUGGUAUUCCUGGUCAUGUGACCGAUGCGUGCUUCCCAGAGCUCAUUCGAAUUACAAAACCAGGUGGUCACAUCAUGUUCACAAUGAGCACCAAGGUAGCGGAGGAGUGGAGUGACAAGUUAGAGGGCGCAAUUCAGGCACAUGCCCAGCAAGGAUCAUGGGAAGUUGUUGAUUAUCGUUGGAUCAUAUAUCUUCAACAUGAUACUGUUAGUGAAAAAGCAAAAGUGCCGAUUCUCAGGCUUCUAUAAAUGUCGACUACCCCCGGAAAAAAAGAGAGUAUAUUAUAUGAAUUUUUUUUUUCAUUCAUAGAGUUUUUGAGUAAAUUUAAAAGUAUGUUUAGAUGGUUCAAGAAAUGAUAGACUUGAUAGCAAUGUAUAUGUACUGAAUGUUGGAAUGAAGUUAACUACCAGCCAGUUGCAUUUUGGCUGUUCCUGCAAACAACAGCUGUGCUAUGCAUUUAUCUUCUGUCAUCAUUUUGCAAUGCCACCGAAUUCUUUUGAAAACCGGUUUAUUUUGAGAUGGAUUGUAUACAAGGUCUUGGGUCUUUAAAAAGAAAACAAGGAUAGAAGACAAUAUCCUGAAGGGCUAAUGUUUCAGGUUGGCUACAAAUUUCUCAGCAAUAACAGGAUAUCAAUGCCUUGUAUUUCCACGUUAUAGUGACAUUCGACAAGCAGAAUGAAAAGACAUUAAUACACUGACUCAAUGUUUGUACACCGCUCAUAAUAUUUUC